CUCUGUUUGAAGGUAUAAAGAGUAUAACCUGCUCACUGAUAAAAGUUUAAGAGCCGCAGUAUUUUGACUGUGCAAAGGUAGCAUAAUCGUUUGUUUUUUAAUUGGAAUCUUGUAUGAAUGGUUGGACAAGAGAAAAACUGUCUUUAUAAGAAAAAUUGAAUUUAACUUUUAGAUGAAAAGGUCUAAAUAAAUUAAAGGGACGAUAAGACCCUAUAAAGCUUAAUAUAAAAAGUUAGUUAAUUAAAUUUUAUUAAAAUAAAAAUGAAUUAAUUUAAUAUAUUUUGUUGGGGCGACAGAGGUAAAAUUGUUAUUAACUACUUAAAUAAGAUUCAAAUAUAAGUGUAAUUUUAAAAGAUCCUAGUUAAAGAUUUAAAGUUUAAGUUACUUUAGGGAUAACAGCGUUAUUUUUUUUGAGAGUACUUAUCGAGAAAAAAGUUUGCGACCUCGAUGUUGAAUUAAAAUAUCUUUAUAAUUGCAGAAGUUAUAAAAGAAGGUCUGUUCGACCUUUAAAUUUUUACAUGAUUUGAGUUCAGACCGGCGUGAG
rnacentral:rRNA from 1 species